UACAUGGGGUGCAAACGUUGCUCGGAAUUAUUGGGCGUAAAGCGUCCGCAGGUGGUUAUCCAAGUCUGCUGUUAAAGCGCGAGGCUUAACUUCGUACAGGCAGUGGAAACUGGGUGACUGGAGUAUGGUAGGGGUAGCGGGAAUUCCCAGUGUAGCGGUGAAAUGCGUAGAUAUUGGGAAGAACACCAGCGGCGAAAGCGCGCUACUGGGCCAUUACUGACACUCAUGGACGAAAGCUAGGGGAGCGAAAGGG
rnacentral:rRNA from 1 species